AAGUAAUUUUUUAAUUAAAACAGUUGAGAAAGGACGAGUGUAGAUAUUGUAUGAACACGCUGCUGUAAUAAAUAAAAGAACGACAGAAAUUGUAUGGGAAUAUUAGACACAGGCAUUAAAGAAGAAACAAUACACUUUAUUCAGAAAUGGUCCCUCCUAGAUAAGGGCAAACCAUUUUUGAAUUAAACCCAAUUGGACAAGAAUUGUUAAAUAGACUGUGCAUAUUAUUCAAAUUUUUUUUUCUGAAUCUCGUUAGAGCUUUUUAAUAAGGUCUUUACAGUACUUUAUUUGCUCUUCAUCAGACAUGAAUUCGCAAUUUCUGAUAGCUGUACAAAUGAGGACCGUAGUAGAAAGAUUUUCAGAAUUGACCCAAACGCGACCAUUCAUUCCAACAGCAAUUUCGAAAGGAAUGUAGCUUCCUAGGGUCUGUAAAAGUGUAUUUUUAGGAAGGAUCAACUUCCUACAAUGAGAUAAAGAUAAACCUGUUAUCAUAUAACCGUUUUUAAGUUCACCAUAUCCUGCAGCUUUCCCUGUGGUAGCAUCGAAACAUUCUAACUCCGGUUCCAUAUCACGAUCAGCGAGUGAUACUCGAGCAUACACAAGGCUUCCAACAUUUAAAUUGGGCCUACUUUUACGAGUCACAUUUUCAAAAGCCAAUGCAUUCAAUUGAGCAAUAUGAGCUGACCCAAUAUCUACUCGAUAACCUUCCGCAAAUCUAGAAAUAAUUUGCCCAAUAACUUGAUCAUUUGUAGCAGGAAUAUAUCUUUUUGUCCGUGAGUCUAUCAACAUAGCAUUUUUUCCAGUUUGAUGCAACCUCCCAGCUUUUGAGACCACUAUUUCUUCUUCACGGUCUUUCUUUUGAAAGACUAAACCAGGACCUAAACGAAUUGAUCCAUCCUGACUAAUUAUGGAGUCUGGUAUCCGCUCACCAG